rnacentral:rRNA from 1 species
GACGAACGCUGGCGGCGUGCUUAACACAUGCAAGUCGAACGCUGAAGCUCAGCUUUUGUUGGGUGGAUGAGUGGCGAACGGGUGAGUAACACGUGAGUAACCUGCCUCCUUCUUUGGGAUAACGCCCGGAAACGGGUGCUAAUACUGGAUAUUCACUGGUCUUCGCAUGGGGGUUGGUGGAAAGGGUUUUUCUGGUGGGGGAUGGGCUCGCGGCCUAUCAGCUUGUUGGUGGGGUGAUGGCCUACCAAGGCUUUGACGGGUAGCCGGCCUGAGAGGGUGACCGGUCACAUUGGGACGGAGCUACGGCCCAGACUCCUACGGGGGGCAGCAGUGGGGAAUAUUGCACAAUGGGCGCAAGCCUGAUGCAGCGACGCCGCGUGAGGGCUGGGGGCCGUCGGGUUGUGAACCUCUUUCGCUCAUGGUCAAGCCGCAACAAUGGUUGUGGUGAGGGUAGUGGGUAAAGAAGCGCCGGCUAACUACGUG